GAUGAACGCUGGCGGCGUGCCUAAUACAUGCAAGUCGAGCGAACAGACGAGGAGCUUGCUCCUCAGACGUUAGCGGCGGACGGGUGAGUAACACGUGGAUAACCUACCUAUAAGACGGGGAUAACUUCGGGAAAACGGAGCUAAUCCCGGACAAUAACUUGAACCGCAUGGUUCAAUAGUGAACGACGGUUUUGAUAUCACUGAUAGAUGGAUCCGCGCCGCAUUAGCUAGUUGGUAAGGUAGCGGCUUACCAAGGCAACGAUGCGUAGAGGAGCUGAGAGCGUGAUUGGCCACACUGGAACUGAGACACGGCCCAGACUCCUGCGGGAGGCAGCAGUCGGGAAUCUUCCGCAAUGGGCGAAAGCCUGACGGAGCAAAGCCGCGUGAGUGAUGAAGGUCUUCGGAUCGUAAAACUCUGUUAUAAGGGAAGAACAAAUGUGUAAGUAACUAGGCACGUCUUGACGGUACCUAAUCAGAAAGCCACGGCUAACUACGUG
rnacentral:rRNA from 1 species